GUGUGUGUGUGUGUGUGUGUGUAGCCGUUGUUACUCAGUAGUGGAAAUGUGUAUUCAAGAACACACCCUUGGGUGGUAAUACUGGUUCUCUGUUAAUUCUAGUUCUGUUGAUCAUCUCUCCCUGUACUCUCUUAAGUUAUUUCUACCUGAGACCACAUUGCACAGCUCGACUUCAACUGGUUUUCCUCCAUCCCCACAUUGCUGAGAGACAGACUGACUGCCAGCAGUCCUGUUUCCUGCUGGAGAGUGAAAUGGAGAGAUUCUCAGUGAGGCAGAUCUGGAGAGGGGCAUAUGGUCAUGUGCUUGAAUAAGUUCCAUCUGAUCACCCCCCUCCGUUUUCUUGUGAAAAAAAAUAUGUACAUACUGAGAUGUGUAUUUCCUCCACAGCUGAGCUGACGGUCAGUCAUAAGCACUUUGAAGAAGCUUUCAGGAAAGUGAAACCAUCCAUAUCAGUAAAGGAUCAAAGGAUGUACGAAGCUCUACAGAGGUCCCUCAGUCAGUGACGUCCACGCCCAGUGCGUGGGACUCACCACGAACCACACUCACCUGACGGGUCUGCUUUCAACUUGACACAGGUGGUCUUCUUGUAAGCAUUUCAUUUUCAAGUUAAUGAGGCCAAAUCGAAGAAAAUGGUGUUUCCUAUCUGACCAGCUUUGUGGAAAAACUCUCUACCUCCUUUUUAAGAAAGAGAAAAAAAGAAAUGAUAAAACCUUAUUCAAAUAAAAUUUUAUUUUGAACU
rnacentral:lncRNA from 1 species